rnacentral:rRNA from 1 species
GGGUUGUGAGGUUAAGCGACUAAGCGUACACGGUGGAUGCCCUGGCAGUCAGAGGCGAUGAAGGGCGUGCUAAUCUGCGAUAAGCGCCGGUAAGGUGAUAUGAACCGUUAUAACCGGCGAUACCCGAAUGGGGAAACCCAGUGUGACUCGUCACACUAUCAUUAACUGAAUCCAUAGGUUAAUGAGGCGAACCGGGGGAACUGAAACAUCUAAGUACCCCGAGGAAAAGAAAUCAACCGAGAUUCCCCCAGUAGCGGCGAGCGAACGGGGAGGAGCCCAGAGCCUGAAUCAGCAUGUGUGUUAGUGGAAGCGUCUGGAAAGGCGCGCGAUACAGGGUGACAGCCCCGUACACAAAAGCGCAUGUGCUGUGAGCUCGAUGAGUAGGGCGGGACACGUGGUAUCCUGUCUGAAUAUGGGGGGACCAUCCUCCAAGGCUAAAUACUCCUGACUGACCGAUAGUGAACCAGUACCGUGAGGGAAAGGCGAAAAGAACCCCGGCGAGGGGAGUGAAAAAGAACCUGAAACCGUGUACGUACAAGCAGUGGGAGCACCCUUUGGGGUGUGACUGCGUACCUUUUGUAUAAUGGGUCAGCGACUUAUAUUCUGUAGCAAGGUUAACCGAAUAGGGGAGCCGGAGGGAAACCGAGUCUUAAUUGGGCGUUAAGUUGCAGGGUAUAGACCCGAAACCCGGUGAUCUAGCCAUGGGCAGGUUGAAGGUUGGGUAACACUAACUGGAGGACCGAACCGACUAAUGUUGAAAAAUUAGCGGAUGACCUGUGGCUGGGGGUGAAAGGCCAAUCAAACCGGGAGAUAGCUGGUUCUCCCCGAAAGCUAUUUAGGUAGCGCCUCGUGAACUCAUCUCCGGGGGUAGAGCACUGUUUCGGCUAGGGGGCCAUCCCGGCUUACCAACCCGAUGCAAACUGCGAAUACCGGAGAAUGUUAUCACGGGAGACACACGGCGGGUGCUAACGUCCGUCGUGAAGAGGGAAACAACCCAGACCGCCAGCUAAGGUCCCAAAGUCAUGGUUAAGUGGGAAACGAUGUGGGAAGGCCCAGACAGCCAGGAUGUUGGCUUAGAAGCAGCCAUCAUUUAAAGAAAGCGUAAUAGCUCACUGGUCGAGUCGGCCUGCGCGGAAGAUGUAACGGGGCUAAACCAUGCACCGAAGCUGCGGCAGCGAC